rnacentral:rRNA from 1 species
GACGAACGCUGGCGGCGUGCUUAACACAUGCAAGUCGAACGGAUUGCUUGGUGCUUGCACUGAGUGGUUAGUGGCGAACGGGUGAGUAACACGUGAGUAACCUGCCCCCUUCUUCGGGAUAAGCACCUGAAAGGGUGUCUAAUACUGAUUAUUCUGCUGGAAUCGCAUGGUUUUGGUUGGAUAGGUUUUUCUGGUGGGGGCUGGGCUCGCUGCUUAUCAGCUUGGUGGUGGGGUAAUGGCUUACCAAGGCUUUGACGGGUAACCGGCCUGAGAGGGUGACCGGUCACAUUGGGACUGAGAUACGGCCCAGACUCCUACGGGAGGCAGCAGUGGGGAAUAUUGCACAAUGGACGAAAGUCUGAUGCAGCGACGCCGCGUGAGGGAUGAAGGCCUUCGGGUUGUAAACCUUUUUCGCUUUUGUCCAAGGCAGCAUUUUGGUGUUGUUGAGGGUAUGAGGUAAAGAAGCUCCGGCUAACUACGUGCCAGCAGCCGCGGUAACAC